GACGAACGCUGGCGGCGUGCUUAACACAUGCAAGUCGAACGGAAAGGCCCUGCUUUUGUGGGGUGCUCGAGUGGCGAACGGGCGAGUAACACGUGAGUAACCUGCCCUUGACUUUGGGAUAACUUCAGGAAACUGGGGCUAAUACCGGAUAGGAGCUCCUGCUGCAUGGGGGGGGUUGGAAAGUUUCGGCGGUUGGGGAUGGACUCGCGGCUUAUCAGCUUGUUGGUGGGGUAGUGGCUUACCAAGGCUUUGACGGGUAGCCGGCCUGAGAGGGUGACCGGCCACAUUGGGACUGAGAUACGGCCCAGACUCCUACGGGAGGCAGCAGGGGGGAAUAUUGCACAAUGGGCGGAAGCCUGAUGCAGCAACGCCGCGUGCGGGAUGACGGCCUUCGGGUUGUAAACCGCUUUCGCCUGUGACGAAGCGUGAGUGACGGUAAUGGGUAAAGAAGCACCGGCUAACUACGUG
rnacentral:rRNA from 1 species